CUCUGGAAUUAUUUUAAUAGCUGCAGUAUGUUGACUGUACAAAGGUAGCAUAAUAAAUUGUCUUUUAAUUGAAGAAUUGUAUGAAAGAAUUAAUG
rnacentral:rRNA from 1 species